CUUCUCAGAUGAUUUGUAGGAAAUAUUUUAUUUUUUCUUGUUCUAUAAUCUCUUGUAUGUUUCAGCUUUCCAGUUCUUAUAAAUAAUUAGAAUCAGUGUUUGUUCGUGUUGAAUCAGUGUUUGUCGUGUUGAAUCAGUGUUUGUUCGCGUUGAAUCAGUGUUUGUUCGCAUUGAAUCAGUGUCUGUUCGUGUUGAAUCAGUGUUGGUGCUAUUUAGUGUUAUAUAAGUUGGUUAAAUAAAAUUAGAUUGAAUGCAAAAUUGUGAUGUAGAGUGAGUGUUAGUGCAUAUUAUUCAUCAUGGGGCAUAUAUAUCAUCAUGGGGCAGGAUGCUCAUCGUGCGAAGGAUCGACAAAGGCCGUGUUGAAGUAUAAGAAGAAUCAUUCAUCAUCAUCCAGUCCUGGAGCAGGAUGCUUAUCGUGCAAAGGAUCAACAAAGACUCCAAUCGUCAUUGCAAUCGUGCGCGUGGCAAUGGAUGGAGUAUUGUAUCGUUUAAAUAAAAUAAAAAUCGCGAAUUAGAAGCACCGUUCGUCCGUUCAUUUAAAUUCGUUCGCGUUACGCGACUGAAAUUUUAGAAAUACAAAUAUUUCAAUCGACUGCGAGCAAUGUAGUCAUUUAUAGAGUUAGGGUUUGUUCGUAUAAAGUAUUAUUUUAAACGGUCACACUGACUGUUCGCGUAUUAGAGUCAGUGCAUCAUUGAAGAUGAUCUAGAAAUUAAUUUACUUCAUCUAUGGAAGAUUAUUGAUCAUCAUGAUGACCAUGCUUUAUCAGUCCACGAUGUCAAUCCAAUGAUGUUGAGCUACUUCAUUUUCAACUUACUUCGUUAUCAACCUACAUCGCGGACGAGUGUUUUGGAGCCGUCGUAGAACUUCUUAAGUAGUGAGCGGACAAAUUUAAAGUCCCUCCAGUGCUCAAUCAUGCCGAGGACGAAAGGUCCGAAUCGGCACGGGUUACUGGUUGUAAUUUUUUAAAUAAAUUAUUGACGAGCAUGACCGCGAGUAAUUCCUCUUUUGGAUUUACCGGCGAGUGAUGCAUUUUAAAUUGUUUAUAUAUUUCCAUUGUUUUUAUCGAUUGUACAUGUUUGUUAUUAGCU